CUCUCAAGCAAAAUUAGCCCUAAUUGAUUGGUUUAAUCUACUAUAUCUCUACAUCGAUUAAAACCAAACAAUUGCAUUAAAUAUUUAUGAAAAUAACUCAAAGGAUCACCUAGGGUUAGGGGUAUAUCUCUAUCAUUUACACAAACCUAGGAUUUCUAUUAUUUGGUCUAAAAUGCACAAUCUUCUCUCGAACGAUGUACAAAUCACUAAAUAUAAUCAUUCAUUUUACCACAUAAAUGAAAAUACAAUAAUUACAAUAGUAGAAACACAUGAAAAUAAGCAAAUUAAUAUCAAAUGGCAAAUAUUAAAAUUAAUCAAGGCUAAAUUAAACUACAACCAUAAAUCCCAACACAAAUAACUUAGCCCAUUUUAUAUUGAUAAUAAAAAGGAGAAUGUUUUAGACAAUACAUUACAAGUUUGACAAAAUAAUUGAUAAAGUACGAGGUAGAGAUUAAACCCCUUUUUGAGCUUGCUCUUGAUUUCCCCAAAACUUUGUCAAAUCCUUAGUUGAAUCUCCUUGUGCUCUAGAUUAUGCCCCAAAAAAUACUAAGGAAAAGAAUAGAAAAAAGAAAGAAAAAGAAAAGAGAAAGAGGAAGAAGCAGGUGACGGC
rnacentral:lncRNA from 1 species